UAAGACGAACCGUGCGAACGUUGUUCGGAAUCACUGGGCUUAAAGGGCGCGUAGGCGGGCCACCAAGUCUGUGGUGAAAUCCCCCGGCUCAACCGGGGAACGGCCGUGGAUACUGGGGGCCUCGAGGGAGAUAGGGGCAGGCGGAACUGAUGGUGGAGCGGUGAAAUGCGUUGAUAUCAUCAGGAACUCCGGUGGCGAAGGCGGCCUGCUGGAUCUCAUCUGACGCUGAGGCGCGAAAGCCAGGGGAGCAAACGGGAUUAGAUACCCCGGUAGUCCUGGCCCUAAACGUUGGGUACUAGGUAGUAGGCCGGACUUGGGCUUACUGCCGGAGCAAAAGUGUUAAGUACCCCGCCUGGGGAGUAUGGUCGCAAGGCUG
rnacentral:rRNA from 1 species